rnacentral:rRNA from 1 species
CGAGGUAGAUAGGGCAGAGGUGGAAGUGUGGCAACACAUGGAGCUGACUGUUACUAAUCGUUUGAGGGCUUGACCAAG